GGACAAGUGAAUAAGUGCACAUGGUGGAUGCCUUGGCGAUUACAGGCGAUGAAGGACGUAGUAGCUUGCGAUAAGCUGCGGGGAGCUAGCAAACGAGCUUUGAUCCGCAGAUUUCCGAAUGGGGAAACCCGGCCUUUUAGGUCAUUGCAUACUGAAUACAUAGGUAUGCAAAGCGAACGCGGCGAACUGAAAC
rnacentral:ncRNA from 1 species